UACAGAGGUCUCAAGCGUUGUUCGGAUUCAUUGGGCGUAAAGGGUGCGUAGGUGGCUCCGUAAGUCGGGUGUGAAAUUUCGGAGCUUAACUCCGAAACUGCAUUCGAUACUGCGGUGCUUGAGGACUGGAGAGGAGACUGGAAUUCAUGGUGUAGCAGUGAAAUGCGUAGAGAUCAUGAGGAAGACCAGUGGCGAAGGCGGGUCUCUGGACAGUUACUGACACUGAGGCACGAAGGCCAGGGGAGCAAACGGG
rnacentral:rRNA from 1 species